rfam:Harpegnathos saltator strain R22 G/1 HarSal_1.0_2.contig6378, whole genome shotgun sequence.
CAAACGGCCCUUUUCAGGGCCACAAUUAUCUCUGACAAUGGAACA